GCGGGAAUAGCUCAGUUGGUAGAGCAUCAGCUUCCCAAGCUGGUGGUCGCGGGUUCGAGUCCCGUUUCCCGCU
rnacentral:tRNA from 1 species